UUUUGUAGAGAUGGGGUUUCGCCAUGUUGUCCAGGCUGGUCUUGAAUUCUUGGACUCAAACCAUCUGUCCACGCUGGCCUCCCAAGGUGCUGUAGCAUCUCUUCCUCAAAGAUGAGUCAGCAGUCAUUUGAAGAGGAGGAAAGACUGGGUUGGGGAAGAAUCUGGGGCAAAAUGAAGCCAAAUUGAGAACGAGGAGAAAAGAAGAUGCUAAGGCCUCAGAUAAGGAGGACUUGAGUGUUACAGCUUUUCAUAUUUGUCCAGCAGGCUUUCUGCUUUUUACUGGAAACUGCCCCCCAACCCCCCAAAAAAUAAAAAUAAAAACAAAUAAAUAAAAAAGAAAGAUUUAAAAAAUAAAAGAGAAA